rnacentral:rRNA from 1 species
UCUAUUAAGUUUCUGAAGUAGUAAUUAUGAAACUUAAAAUUUUGACAGUAUUUGAUUUUUUAAAGGAAUAUGUAAUUUAAUCGUCAAUACACGUUAAAUCUUACUUGUUUUAUUUUUGUAUAUCUCCGUUGUCAGAUUUUAUUUAAAAUUUUUGAAAUUUUCUAUAUAAAAUAUUUUAUUACAUCAGGUCAAGGUGCAAAAUAAAUAAGUUAUUAUGUAUUACAAUCAAAUAUAUUGUCAUGAAUAAAUUUUUGAAAAUUAUUUUGAAAUUGAAUUUACAAGUAAAACAAUAGAGAAAAUUUGUUUGAAGUUUUAUUUAAUAUGU